UAAGGAAUAUUGGUCAAUGGACGCAAGUCUGAACCAGCCAUGCCGCGUGAAGGAUGAAGGUCCUCUGGAUUGUAAACUUCUUUUAUAGGGGGCGAAAAAAGGGAAAUCUUUCUCACUUGACAGUACCCUAUGAAUAAGCACCGGCUAACUCCGUGCCAGCAGCCGCGGUAAUACGGAGGGUGCAAGCGUUAUCCGGAUUCACUGGGUUUAAAGGGUGCGUAGGCGGGCGUAUAAGUCAGUGGUGAAAUCCUGGAGCUUAACUCCAGAACUGCCAUUGAUACUAUAUGUCUUGAAUAUGGUGGAGGUAAGCGGAAUAUGUCAUGUAGCGGUGAAAUGCAUAGAUAUGACAUAGAACACCUAUUGCGAAGGCAGCUUACUACGCCUAUAUUGACGCUGAGGCACGAAAGCGUGGGGAUCAAACAGGAUUAGAUACCCUGGUAGUCCACGCCCUAAACGAUGAUUACUCGACGUGUGCGAUAAACGGUACGCGUCUGAGCGAAAGCAUUAAGUAAUCCACCUGGGGAAGUACGACCGCAAGGUUGAAACUCAAAUGAAUUGACGGGGUCAUAGCUGUUUCCUG
rnacentral:rRNA from 1 species